rnacentral:lncRNA from 1 species
GCUUUGGUUUCAGAGUUAUAAGCCAAAAUCUACAUUUUACCCCUAUGGUCUAUUUUUAGCCAUGGCGGCCAUCUUGGUUGGUUGGCCGGGUCACGCCACACGUUUUUUAAACUAGAUACCCCAAUGAUGAUUGUGGCUAAGUUUGGUUUAAUUUGGCCCGGUAGUUUCAGAGGAGAAGAUUUUUGUAAAAGCUAACGACGGACGACGACGACGACGACGGACGACGCCGGACGCCGGACGCAAAGUGAUGAGAAAAGCUCACUUGGCCCUUCGGGCCAGGUGAG